rnacentral:rRNA from 1 species
UCAAAUUUGUAAUCUGGCUGUCUUCGAUAGUCCGAGUUGUAAUCUAUAGACGUGUUUUCCGUGCUGGACCGUAUCUAAGUCCCUUGGAACAGGGUAUCAAAGAGGGUGACAAUCCCGUGCUUGAUACGACCACCAGUGCUCUGUGAUACACGCUCUACGAGUCGAGUUGUUUGGGAAUGCAGCUCAAAAUGGGUGGUAAAUUCCAUCUAAAGCUAAAUAUUGGCGAGAGACCGAUAGCGAACAAGUACCGUGAGGGAAAGAUGAAAAGCACUUUGGAAAGAGAGUUAAACAGUACGUGAAAUUGUUGAAAGGGAAACGAUUGAAGUCAGUCGUGUUCUUUGGAUUCAGCUAGUUCUUCUAGUCUACUUCCAUUGAACGGGUCAACAUCAGUUUUGUCCGGUGGAUAAAGAUAGUAGGAAUGUAGCUCCCCCGGGAGUGUUAUAGACUAUUAUUGCAUACACUGGGUGAGACUGAGGACUGCAGCUCGCCUUUUGGCCGGUCUUCGGACACGUUCGAGCUUAGGAUGUUGACAUAAUGGCUUUAAACGACCC